CGAGUUUGAUCCUGGCUCAGGACGAACGCUGGCGGCGCGCCUUACGCAUGCAAGUCGAACGGAGUUGGCUUCGGCCAAUUCAGUGGCAGACGGGUGAGUAACACGUAAGCGACCUAUCCGUGAGUGGGGAAUAACUCCUCGAAAGGGGAGCUAAUACCGCAUACGUUCCUUCUUUUGAUAGGAGGAGGAAAGCCUGUGAAGGCGCUCACGGAGGGGCUUGCGGCCCAUCAGCUAGUUGGCGGGGUAACGGCCCACCAAGGCGACGACGGGUAGCUGGUCUGAGAGGACGGCCAGCCACAAGGGCACUGAGACACGGGCCCUACUCCUACGGGAGGCAGCAGCGAGGAAUCUUGGUCAAUGGGGGCAACCCUGAACCAGCGACGCCGCGUGGAGGACGAAGGCUUUCGGGUCGUAAACUCCUUUUGUCGGGGACGAGUAGAAGACGGUACCCGGCGAAUAAGCCACGGCUAACUACGUGCCAGCAGCCGCGGUAAUACGUAGGUGGCGAGCGUUGUCCGGAUUUACUGGGCGUAAAGCGCGCGUAGGCGGCCUGUUAAGUUCUGUGUGAAAGGUUUCGGCUCAACCGGGACAGUGCAUGGGAUACUGGCGGGCUUGAGGGCAGCAGAGGUCGGUGGAAUUCCCGGUGGAGUGGUGAAAUGCGUAGAGAUCGGGAGGAACACCAGUGGCGAAGGCGGCCGACUGGGCUGUGCCUGACGCUGAGGCGCGAAAGCGUGGGGAGCGAACCGGAUUAGAUACCCGGGUAGUCCACGCCCUAAACGGUGGUGACUAGGUGUGGGGGGUAUCGACCCCCUCCGUGCCGCAGCUAACGCGAUAAGUCACCCGCCUGGGGACUACGGCCGCAAGGUUAAAACUCAAAGGAAUUGACGGGGGCCCGCACAAGCAGCGGAGCGUGUGGUUUAAUUCGAUGCAACGCGCAGAACCUUACCGGGGUUUGACAUGUGCAGGAAAGCCUCAGAGAUGGGGUCCUCCUUCGGGACCUGUGCACAGGUGCUGCAUGGCUGUCGUCAGCUCGUGCCGUGAGGUGUUGGGUUAAGUCCCGCAACGAGCGCAACCCUCGUCGCUAGUUGUAUGUUUCUAGCGAGACUGCUGCGCAAAACGCAGAGGAAGGUGGGGAUGACGUCAAGUCAUCAUGGCCUUUAUGCCCCGGGCUACACACACGCUACAAUGGGCGGUACAGACGGUUGCGAAGCCGCGAGGUGAAGCCAAUCCGACAAAGCCGUCCUCAGUACAGAUUGCAGGCUGCAACUCGCCUGCAUGAAGACGGAGUUGCUAGUAACCGCAGGUCAGCACACUGCGGUGAAUACGUUCCCGGGCCUUGUACACACCGCCCGUCACGUCAUGAAAGCCGGCAACACCUGAAGUCGCUGGGCUGACUCUUUUCUUCGGAACGGAGAGCCAGGCGCCGAGGGUGGGGCGGGUAAUUGGGACGAAGUCGUAACAAGGUA
rnacentral:rRNA from 1 species